rnacentral:piRNA from 1 species
UCAGACAUUGUUCCUUGGAGCCAUCUAC